CACAGAACAUCAUGCGUUUCAGGUGACACAAAUGUUUGCUGACCUGUGGCUAUCCGAGAACACCUGCAGAAGUACUCCCUUCAUGCUGAGCACAGCUUGAGGUCAGUGGCUGAGACUGGCCAGCAAGCACCGCGUUAAGGACACAGGCUGAUCACAAGAGCUAACCUGUCAUGGUUCCACAGCAUCGUGCCUUCCCCUGGUGGCCUCCGAAGCUCAUGCAAGUUUGCAGGAAGAGACAUUCAGAGUGAAAUACGGCCUGAAAAGCCACUCCAAGUUGUAUUAUUUAUGAAACACAACACUCAACACAAGAAGAAACCCAAUACAGCACAUCAUUCUGCCUGCUCCGUGGCUUCUGCUUCUCAAGCGACUUAAAAUGAUUGGUGGGUCAUUAUUUUCUUUUUAAAAGUAUCGGCCAUCAAUGAUUCAAGGCCAGGGUUUGCAUUGUUGCAAGGCUUUUAAAAAGUGACAUAGAUCAUAUCAAUCAGGUUAUAACCAUGAACCUCCCUUGCCACAUGUGUUUCAUGCAUGUUGAAUCAGCAUGCAGCUCAUUGUGUGAGAGCUGGCAUUUGCCAUAGGUCAGGUGCUGUCUGAGCCCUACAGCUGUUACUUCAGGUAAUGCUCGCAAGAGCUCUGUGUGAGGGGAACACUCAUCGGUUCCCACGUUACCAGCAGGCUGAGUCAUGCCCUGUAUCACGGAGCUGGUGCAGCAGACGGCAGUGCCUGAAUUCAAGCCCAGGCUGUCAUUGCAGGGCUGUUUGACCACCUGAAUGCACAACCUCAUGAUAGGACAAGCAUGCACACAAAACAGGAGACAAGACAGCCAACCACGGUGCAGUGGAAGGGCUGCUGUUUUAUUUCAGUUUAUCACAUCUAGUGAUAAGCAUGGUGAACACGUGAGCAAUGCUUUCAGAUUAGAAGCAACUUUGUGCAUAAGCAUCCGUGGCUAUAUGGAAGCCAGGCCACUGCAGACAGAGCAUGCUUGACAGCGAUCUGAUGACCUAGAAACAUUUGCACAAUUCAGAGAGCUAAGGAUUACAUGUGUACUUUGUCUUCAAAGUACACAGUCUCCACCACAUUCAUUCAGCUGCACCCGACUUUCAUCUGUCUGUCUGAUGUAUGUGGCCCCUCAUGUAACAGAGGUGAUCCAAUGUCAGGCUGAAGGGGAAAAAAUAUCUGAUAGGAACAAUUCAUUGAGGUUCCUGGUACCUACUUACUCUUUUUUUUUUUUUUUUUUUUUGAGUCUCACUUUGUCUCCCAGGCUGGAGUGCAGUGGCGUGAUCUCGGCUCACUGCAACCCCCACCUCCCUGGUUCAAGUAAUUCUCCUGCCUCAGCCCCCCGAGUAGCUGAGAUUACAGGAUCCUCUCUCUGGGAGCCCUCAUCUACCUCCAGCUGCAAUCAUCACCACAGGAGUGAGAGAGAGACUUGGACCUGAGCUGGACCCUCCAGCCCUCCUUCGCUGAACUACCUUCCAACCUUAUGUUCCUACUGAUGUUUACCAGGUUAUUCAAUAAAUAUUGUAUGUUCUGUGGCAGUGGCCACCAGUCAUUUUCAAAUACCUGUUUUCCCUUCUUCCUUACCAAAAACACCCAUGGUUUUUAGCUGGACACCUGGUUGCCCAAAAUAAAC
rnacentral:lncRNA from 1 species